rnacentral:rRNA from 1 species
UACGGGGGGGGCAAGCGUUGUUCGGAAUUACUGGGCGUAAAGGGCUCGUAGGCGGCCAACUAAGUCAGACGUGAAAUCCCCAGGCUUAACCUGGGAACUGCGUCUGAUACUGGAUGGCUUGAAUUCGGGAGAGGGAUGCAGAAUUCCAGGUGUAGCGGUGAAAUGCGUGGAUAUCUGGAGGAAUACCGGUGGCGAAGGCGGCAUCCUGGACCGACAUUGACGCUGAUGAGCGAAAGCUAGGGGAGCAAACGGG